rnacentral:rRNA from 1 species
UGGGGAAUUUUGGACAAUGGGGGCAACCCUGAUCCAGCAAUGCCGCGUGAGUGAAGAAGGCCUUCGGGUUGUAAAGCUCUUUUGUCAAGGAAGAAACGGUAGUAGCGAAUAACUAUUACUAAUGACGGUACCUGAAGAAUAAGCACCGGCUAACUACGUGCCAGCAGCCGCGGUAAUACGUAGGGUGCAAGCGUUAAUCGGAAUUACUGGGCGUAAAGCGUGCGCAGGCGGUUGUGUAAGUCAGAUGUGAAAUCCCCGGGCUCAACCUGGGAAUUGCAUUUGAGACUGCACGGCUAGAGUGUGUCAGAGGGGGGUAGAAUUCCACGUGUAGCAGUGAAAUGCGUAGAUAUGUGGAGGAAUACCGAUGGCGAAGGCAGCCCCCUGGGAUAACACUGACGCUCAUGCACGAAAGCGUGGGGAGCAAACAGGAUUAGAUACCCCCGUAGUCCCUGAGCGGGCUGGCAAGGCGCAU